rnacentral:rRNA from 1 species
UACGUAGGUGGCAAGCGUUAUCCGGAAUUACUGGGCGUAAAGCGUGCGCAGGCGGUGAUGUAAGACCGAUGUGAAAUCCCCGGGCUUAACCUGGGAACUGCAUUGGUGACUGCAUCGCUCGAGUAUGGCAGAGGGGGGUAGAAUACCACGUGUAGCAGUGAAAUGCGUAGAGAUGUGGAGGAAUACCGAUGGCGAAGGCAGCCCCCUGGGUCAAUACUGACGCUCAUGCACGAAAGCGUGGGGAGCAAACAGG